UCCUCGUUAGCUCAGUUGGUAGAGCGCUCCACUGGAAAUUGAGAGGUCUCUGGUUCCAUAUCAGGACCAGGCG
rfam:Ixodes scapularis strain Wikel colony gcontig_1108378570088, whole genome shotgun sequence.